rnacentral:lncRNA from 1 species
UUUUUUUGUAUUAGUAAGACUAUAGUUGAAAAUAACAAUGAGAAAAAAUAAGGUCUAAGCUAAAAAGGUUAAAGCCAAAAAUAAAUUAUUACUAAUUCACAUAGUUAAGUUUCAGAGGUAGUUCUAACUUUAAACAUAACUUAAUUACAUGUUAAAAAUCUGGCAUCAAGAGGAAAAUGGCUUUAUCCUCCUGCUCUAAAACUCAGCAACUUAAAAUUAGAUUUAUUGGUUUCUGACUGCCUUAUUCUAGAGUCAAUUACCUACCCAUUCCUGAACCUGUCACUGUGGCCUGUGGUAUGGGAGAUUCUAAUUGGCUCAUCUCGAUCUACAUUUUUUUGAAUGGAGCUUAAUGGACUAAGAGCUGAAGAGGGUGAUACCACAAACAUACUACACUCCCCCACCUCUAUCAAACCAGGGUGCUACUCUCAGGAACAGAAUAAAUAAAUAUUUGAGUGGACAAACACAAUGGAUUUCUACUCCAAUGAUCUAAAGCAAUCUAAUGCAGAUGAAAUAAGGACCGUGGUAAAAUAGGAGAUUCAGAUCCAUAAUGGAACAUACUCCUGUCUGGUUGAAUAACAAUAAUUCUUACCAAAAAUUCUCUUUAGCAUGUAGCAAAGGCUAGCCAACAUUGCAUUCCCAGAAAAGACAAACUAUUAAUACUAAACAUUUCUUAAUGUAUCACUGAUCAUUCACUUGCUCUUUCUGUCAUUAUUUCUUCCCUCCUUUGUUCUUUCUCUUCUCUCCCAGGAUUCCCUUUGUCAAACAUUUAUUGAUCACCUCCUAUGUGGAACCUACAUGUAAAGUGAUAAAAGAAAUUUCUGCCUCUAAUGAAAUUUAUGAUCUAGUUAGAGAGGUACUACAGAAGAAAGUGUACUCUAUUAUAAAAAAGCAGUGCCAGAUAGGACCAGGCAAGUAUAAUUUUGGAGUGUAGCAAUAAUGUUACAAUGGAAUUAAAAUAUGGCUUGGGGUCAAAAGCCCUGGAUCCUACUCCUAGUUCUGCUUCUUACCAGCUGUGUGAAUUUUGGAAAGUCAUAUAAGCAAUCUGAGGCUCCAGCUCUUCAUCCAUGUCUUAGAGAUGAUGCCACCUGUCUCACAGCAAUGUGGUGAGGAUCAAAUGAAUGACAUAUGUGUAAAUGCCAACAGUAUUCUCUGACACAUAACUGGCAUCACAAAGUUUCUAAAUAAAGUGUUGUGGGGUUUUCAUAAGAGGAAGAAAUAUUUUAAGCUGCAGGAACCAGGGAAGACUUCACUGGAAUGGCUUUAAAAUUCAUAGAAUGGGAUAACACAAAUGGAGGGGAGAGACCACUCUACUCUCUGGGGAAAAAUACGCAAAACAAUGGAAACAAAACAGAGCUUUUUAAUGAAAAUAGACAACAUACUCUUAGCCAAAAUAGUGAGGUUUUGUUUGUUUUGUUCUAGUCUAAUUCUUUUCUCAAUGAGUUUUGUGCAGGUACUUAAUAUGUAAAACAGCAAAGGGAACCUGCUAUUGUUGAAAUAAGUGUGAGAAGACUCCCUAUCUCACAAUCCCACAUACCUGCCACUAAGGAAACUAGGGCUUUAUAAUGCACAGUUUUGAGACCAAUGCAAUGUUAAUAGAAAAACCGGGCUGGAGAUCAGACAACAUUCAGUGACUAAAGACAGAUCUAAUUUGUAGUUUUGCAAAUAUACCACACUCUCUCAUCUUUCAUACCUUUGCACAUGAAGACUCUUUUAUUGGAACGCAUCCCUCAUAAAUUCACCAGUGUCUUGUCCUUUAAGAUUCAGUUCAGCAAAUCCUUCCUUGAUCUUCUUUGUCCAUCCUUUAAGCUUCUUGCUGAACUAAGUGCUAAUUCUCUGAGCCACUUGCUGAACCAAGUGUAUAAUUUUUCUUGAUCCUCUAUGGAUAUGAACUACUUGCUCAUUAUUAGGAAGCUAGUUUCCUCCUUCCAUCACUC